CUUCGGGUGUGGCCCCGGUCUAAGUUCCUUGGAACAGGACGUCACAGAGGGUGAGAAUCCCGUACGUGCCCGGUGGCCGCCCCCGUGUGAAGCUCCUUCGACGAGUCGAGUUGUU
rnacentral:rRNA from 1 species